GAUGAACGCUGGCGGCGUGCCUAAUACAUGCAAGUCGAGCGAACAGACGAGGAGCUUGCUCCUCUGACGUUAGCGGCGGACGGGUGAGUAACACGUGGAUAACCUACCUAUAAGACUGGGAUAACUUCGGGAAACCGGAGCUAAUACCGGAUAACAUGUUGAACCGCAUGGUUCAACAGUGAAAGACGGUUUUGCUGUCACUUAUAGAUGGAUCCGCGUCGCAUUAGCUAGUUGGUAAGGUAACGGCUUACCCAGGCAACGAUGCCUAGCCGACCUGAGAGGGUGAUCGGCCACACUGGAACUGAGACACGGUCCAGACUCCUACGGGAGGCAGCAGUAGGGAAUCUUCCGCAAUGGGCGAAAGCCUGACGGAGCAACGCCGCGUGAGUGAAGAAGGUCUUCGGAUCGUAAAACUCUGUUAUUAGGGAAGAACAAAUGUGUAAGUAACUAUGCACGUCUUGACGGUACCUAAUCAGAAAGCCACGGCUAACUACGUG
rnacentral:rRNA from 1 species